rnacentral:rRNA from 1 species
UUUCAACGGCCGCGGUAUUCUAACCGUGCAAAGGUAGCGUAAUCACUUGUCUCCUAAAUAGAGACCUGUAUGAACGGCUAAAUGAAGACAAACCUGUCUCUUACAACCUAUCAGUGAAACUGAUCUCCAAGUCCAAAAGCUCGGAUAAAUACAUAAGACGAGAAGACCCUGUGGAGCUUAAAAUCUACUACUAACAAAGCCAAAACCACAGCACAACUAGUAUAAAUUUUGAGUUGGGGCGACUUCGGAACAAAACAAAACUUCCAAGCACAGAACCACCACUUCUAACCAAGGCCAACAAGCCAAAGCAAAAACUGACCCAGUAAUACUGAUCAACGAACCAAGUUACCCCAGGGAUAACAGCGCUAUCUUCUUCAAGAGUCCAUAUCGACAAGAAGGUUUACGACCUCGAUGUUGGAUCAGGACACCCAAAUGGUGCAGCCGCUAUUAAAGGUUCGUUUGUUCAACGAUUAACAGUCCU